AUUGAACGCUGGCGGCAUGCCUUACACAUGCAAGUCGAACGGCAGCACGGGUGCUUGCCCCUGGUGGCGAGUGGCGAACGGGUGAGUAAUACAUCGGAACAUGUCCUGUAGUGGGGGAUAGCCCGGCGAAAGCCGGAUUAAUACCGCAUACGAUCUACGGAUGAAAGCGGGGGACCUUCGGGCCUCGCGCUAUAGGGUUGGCCGAUGGCUGAUUAGCUUGUUGGGGGGGGAAAGGCCUACCAAGGCGACGAUCAGUAGCUGGUCUGAGAGGACGACCAGCCACACUGGGACGGAGACACGGCCCAGACUCCUCCGGGAGGCAGCAGUGGGGAAUUUUGGAAAAGGGGCGAAAGCCUGAUCCAGCAAUGCCGCGUGUGGGAAGAAGGCCUUCGGGUUGUAAAGCCCUUUUGUCCGGAAAGAAAUCCUUGGCCCUAAUACGGUCGGGGGAUGACGGUACCGGAAGAAUAAGCACCGGCUAACUACGUG
rnacentral:rRNA from 1 species